rnacentral:lncRNA from 1 species
GAUAUGAUCUAUUAUGUGAGCAUUUUACUAAAUCCUUCUGUUACUUCCAUUUGUGUUUUAUGAUAAACUGAUGUGUAACAUUUUGCAUAGAAGCAAUUAUCUUUCUCUAUAUUCAACAGUGAAUUAUAUAACUGAGAUUUAUUUUGGUAGGUCAAUGCUGCUAAUGAACGAAUGCUACGAGGGCGAGGUGUUGAUGGAGGUAUAAACUAGCUUCCGGUCCCAUUUUGAUCUCUUCGCAUCAAUUCUACUACACAUCCUAGUAAUCCCAGAUUAAUUUGGUUCUUUUGUUUUACUUAUUGCAGGUGACACUCCUUUGGCCAUUUCUGCGGUUUAUGGGAUGCCUGCUAUCAUGAGAUAUCUCCUGGGUUGUGGUGCUGCUCCAACUUGGAUGGUGGAACAAAGAAACAAUGAGUUUCUGUGCGACAACUUUGAGGAUUGGAUUAUAACGUGAAUUGGUUUCUGAUACUCUGUCUCUCAAGUGUUAAUUCUAGUCUUGUUUGCUCACAUAUCGAUGACUUUUGCUAUUAUUACAGUAGGCGCAAUCAACAUUACUUCUUAUGUGUUUCUUUUGCUAUUAUCAUAGUAGGAGGUUGCUAUUUUUUAUUAGAACAAACAUGAAAUUGGUUGCUCUAUUAAGCAACUCAUUUUUUGUGUGCUAUUUCCUGGAGCUUUGAGUGAAGAGUAGGCUUGCAAUGCCUGCCUUUUUUGUGUGCUAUUCCCUAGUUUGGGAUUUUCUCCCAAUUCCUAGGCAUCUAGUUCCUAUACUAAUAUACUUGUACUGCUCAUGCCGCUGUUGCUACUGAUCUUGUAGCACAGCACAACACUUCUAGUUCUUAUACUAGUAUAUACUUGUACUGCUCAUCCAGCUCUACUGAUACAUGUUUACACUGUUAAUUAGGACCAAACCAUUGUGUAGCUUGUGCUAUUUGUUGGACCUGACGAUCUGUUUGUUGGGGAAAACCUGUAUGUUUGAUCUUA